CUGGAAACGGUAGCUAAUACCGCAUAAUGUCGCAAGACCAAAGAGGGGGACCUUCGGGCCUCUUGCCAUCGGAUGUGCCCAGAUGGGAUUAGCUUGUUGGUGGGGUAACGGCUCACCAAGGCGACGAUCCCUAGCUGGUCUGAGAGGAUGACCAGCCACACUGGAACUGAGACACGGUCCAGACUCCUACGGGAGGCAGCAGUGGGGAAUAUUGCACAAUGGGCGCAAGCCUGAUGCAGCCAUGCCGCGUGUAUGAAGAAGGCCUUCGGGUUGUAAAGUACUUUCAGCGGGGAGGAAGGGAGUAAAGUUAAUACCUUUGCUCAUUGACGUUACCCGCAGAAGAAGCACCGGCUAACUCCGUGCCAGCAGCCGCGGUAAUACGGAGGGUGCAAGCGUUAAUCGGAAUUACUGGGCGUAAAGCGCACGCAGGCGGUUUGUUAAGUCAGAUGUGAAAUCCCCGGGCUCAACCUGGGAACUGCAUCUGAUACUGGCAAGCUUGAGUCUCGUAGAGGGGGGUAGAAUUCCAGGUGUAGCGGUGAAAUGCGUAGAGAUCUGGAGGAAUACCGGUGGCGAAGGCGGCCCCCUGGACGAAGACUGACGCUCAGGUGCGAAAGCGUGGGGAGCAAACAGGAUUAGAUACCCUGGUAGUCCACGCCGUAAACGAUGUCGACUUGGAGGUUGUGCCCUUGAGGCGUGGCUUCCGGAGCUAACGCGUUAAGUCGACCGCCUGGGGAGUACGGCCGCAAGGUUAAAACUCAAAUGAAUUGACGGGGGCCCGCACAAGCGGUGGAGCAUGUGGUUUAAUUCGAUGCAACGCGAAGAACCUUACCUGGUCUUGACAUCCACGGAAGUUUUCAGAGAUGAGAAUGUGCCUUCGGGAACCGUGAGACAGGUGCUGCAUGGCUGUCGUCAGCUCGUGUUGUGAAAUGUUGGGUUAAGUCCCGCAACGAGCGCAACCCUUAUCCUUUGUUGCCAGCGGUCCGGCCGGGAACUCAAAGGAGACUGCCAGUGAUAAACUGGAGGAAGGUGGGGAUGACGUCAAGUCAUCAUGGCCCUUACGACCAGGGCUACACACGUGCUACAAUGGCGCAUACAAAGAGAAGCGACCUCGCGAGAGCAAGCGGACCUCAUAAAGUGCGUCGUAGUCCGGAUUGGAGUCUGCAACUCGACUCCAUGAAGUCGGAAUCGCUAGUAAUCGUGGAUCAGAAUGCCACGGUGAAUACGUUCCCGGGCCUUGUACACACCGCCCGUCACACCAUGGGAGUGGGUUGCAAAAGAAGUAGGUAGCUUAACCUUCGGGAGGGCGCUUACCACUUUGUGAUUCAUGACUGGGGUGAAGUCGUAACAAGGUAACCGUAGGGGAACCUGCGGUUGGAUCAC
rnacentral:rRNA from 1 species